AAUCAAACAAUUACAAUACUAACAUUAAAAACUAGAACAAUUCGUACUAAAAUUAACUCAAACAUGACAAGAUUUAGAGAUUUGUACAUAUAAUUGUGUAUGAGGAUCUUGAAUUUAAAUACCCACAACUUAUGACAUUCACCUUUGCUAACUGUAUCAAGUGCUCGUUAAUAUAUAUAUAUAUAUAAUUGAAAACAACUAAAUACGUACGUAAAUAGAUAUUAAAUUCUCACAUCUAACACUUCUCAAAUUAAAAUCUACACGAACUUGAGUGGCGUAUGUUGAAAGGUUUAAAGAUAAUAAAUCAAAUAGUCAAAUCCUCAAAAACAGAUAAAAUAUAACUUAAUUACCUAGUUAAUAUAAGUUACAUUAUUACAUAUCUAUAUUGUAUUUAAAGUUUUUAAUUGAGUUUGUUGGUAAUGUAAAAUCAGAAAUAUUUUUUUUAAAUAUUUUCUAUUUUAGAAUAUUUUUCGGUUGAGGAAAAUUUUCUGACUGUUGUAAAAUAUUUUCUGUUGAGGAAUUUUUUUUUUUUUUUUUUGGAAACUGACACUGCUUAUUACCAUUUUGUCCAUUCUAAAAACAAUAUAAAUAGCAGACUAUUCUACCCAUAUUUCACAACAUUGAAAAAUAAGAAAAUUCGGUUCUAUCUUUUCUCUCUCAUUCUUGCUCUUUAAAAAUUCUGGUGUUUUACUAAAUUUCAUUAGUGUGUUAUUCUAUCUAGGAGGUUGAGUUUUAAGCAGGAUCAUCUGUGACUCCUCCAAUCUUUCUUGGAAAUUGAAUCUGGUGUGGUUUACCUGAGUUUCUUCCAGUUUAUUCCUGACUUUUAUGAGAAGAGCAAUCCUUUUGAGUUCCAUCUUCCUCAUUCGGGUGUAUGAAUUUGGAAGUAAUGUGUUAAUCUUGAGGGUAGGCGUCCAUUUCUGAUUACACCGAUCAAAGGCAAAAUUGCUUCCAAGGCGAUAGUCCUUCCAUAACACAAUGACUGCUUUAUUUAUUUACACUUAGUUUAGUUUCCUGUCAGUGCUAACAGUUUUGUUUGCAGUAGUAUAUUUCCAACAAUUUAGAAGCAAUUUCUUUGCUAUUGUUUAAAUGUGAUAAUCAUUUUUGUUUCUCGCUACUAAAACCAAUGAAGGCUCCUCUAGGCAAUUUAGAAGCCGAGCUUGGUAAUGCAAGCUUGUAACUUGAGUGGGGGGCUUUAAGGUGUUGGAACGCGAGUUUGGCUUUGUUGAUUCAGAUAUCGGGUGGUUUAACUCUGGCUUGUUUGUUCCAAGUUAAAAGUUGAGCCUAUAGGACUUGAUUGUAAACUUUGAGUAUCGUAAAAUCCUAAAGGGUCUCAGAGUUUGAAUCUCGGAAAAGAAAAAAAUAAACAAUGAAGGGAAAAUUGGAUUUAUAAAUAGGUUGGUGUAAUAUUAAGGCAAUAGGUUUGAAGGCACCUAAGCAGUGUAAGAGUGUGCCUAAGUAUCAUUGGAGUGAUUGCAAGCUCCAUCUGUGUUGGUCAGUGGGCCAUUGCGGUCAAGAUAGGCUUGGAAGGCCUAGCGAGCUUGAGUUUAAAUGGGUCAGAGGACCCUUGAGUUUAAGUGGGUCGAAGAAACCUUAAGUUUGAUUUGGUCGGAGGACCAUGAGCGGAUUGCUAAAUCCUUGUGUUUGGAAUAGGGCUUACGAUGUAUUUAUCCAUGAUGAGCUACUAAUACAUGAGAUUUGUGGAGUUAGUCCAAGCGUCAUAGAAUUUUUAACCAAAGUGGACUGGAGGAUUAUCGAGUUCAAGAGCUUGAACAAGAGAACUAGUGAGGGAUGUCUUGUUUAAGAAAUUUAUGAGAUUGUGUGGAGAAAGAAGUGGUGUGAUAGAGUUUGCGUGAAUGAUUAUUAAAGUCCAAAAUUGAUAUUGAGAUAGACCUAGUUUGAUGGUGUCGCACGUGUUGCGGUUGGCCAAGAUGGCCACACCUAAUGAGGUAACUAUGGAAAGACUAGGAGGGUCUAAGUUGGGGAUGGUCAAUGUGUCUGAAUUUUCCAUAUUGAGAACUUGUAUUGGGGUCGAAGGGGCGGUUGGUAUAAACCAUAUCCAAAGGGAUACAUCCAGCGAGAUACCCUAAAAGAGUGGUUGGUGCCAAAUUUAGAGGGAUGCUUUUUAAGUAUCAAAGGCAUGAUAAUAUUCUGUCAACAAAGGGUCAUACCAUUAAGGGUUCCUUAAGGUUGUAACCUGAUGAUUAUAUGUUGUGGCAUUGGUUCCAAGUGUUCGGUGGAGGAAUGGGCAUAGACAAGACUACACCAACGGUUGAGAUGAGACCAAGUUCAAGUCUAUGUCCGACAUGCAUUGAAUGGAUCAUAACCUUAGGCCUUGAAGGCCCAAGAUGGACUUGAGACUAAAAUGUUAACUCAACGCAAAAAGGUUACUAAAAGUGUGGCUUCAUGUCGAUGAAGGCAUCAACAUAGUAAAUGGGGGAAAGUGUCAUGGUUCGCAAGUUAUUAUGCUAUCAAGGUUAAACUUUCCCCCAAAUGGUUUUGAGUAAAAUUAAAGUACAAUAAUUAGAAGUUGGAAUUUGUCGAAUACCCUACAAUGCUAGAGAGAUAUUGUGAUGCAAAUUGGGUAACUGAUAGAUUUAGCUCUGCAAGUAGGUAUGUUUUUAUUUUGGAUGGGACAACUAUUUCUUGGAAGUCUACUAAACAGACAUAUAUUGCUCACUGCACGAUGGAAUCAGAGUUUAUAACUUUUGACUGAGUCGAGCAAAAGACCGAGUGGCUUAGGAAUCUACUUGCAGAGAUUCUUUUAUCGGGGAAACCUGCACUUCCUGUGUCCUUAUUAUGUGAUUCAUAACCCGUCAUUUGUGUUGCUCAAAACCAGGCUUACAAUGACAAGAAAGACAUAUAAGAAUAAGACAUGAAUAUAUGAGACACUUAAUAAAGAAUGGACUACUUGUCAUGGAGUACGUAAAAUCUGAGAGGAACCUAGCUGAUCCACUAACCAAAGGGUCAUAUAGGAAAAUUGUUCUUGAUUCAUCGAGGGGGAUGGGUCUUAAGCCCACUGGUUGAGGAAUUCAUGGUUGAUACCCAACUUAGUCUUCUAAGUUCAGUAUGGUCAAAUGAAACCAUGGAAAGACUCAUAAUGUACAUAUUUACCUAUCCCUAUGGUGCACAAUGUAUAUGCAUAAGGAAGAGCUCCUUGCUCUUAAUGAGUUCAUAUCCCAAAGUUUCGAUGGUUCUAAUGAGACGGGUUUGAUGAAUUCAUUAAUGUGUGAGGUUGAUUUCUUACUCUUAAUGAAUUCAUAUCCCAAAGUUAGGGUGGUUCUAUUGAGACGGGCUUAAUGAAUUCACCGAAUUUCAAAAUUGAGAUGUUGAGCUUAUUAAAUACUCUUAAUGAUUUUAUAGCCCUGAUCCGGGUGGUCUAUACUGAGAUAAACUUGAUGAAAUUACCUACGUAAGUAUGAAGAAUUAGCCAACUUCUAUAAAAGACGUUGGGCCAUUUUUCUAGAGCACUUACCAGCAUCACGAGGUAUAUUGGCUAAAUAAUUGAUCUAUCACGGAACUCAUUUGCACUUGAGAUUAGUCGCGUGCUUUGAGUUAUCCCCUAUCUUAACAAGUUAAAGAUUCGUUCACUUGUUAAAGAGAAGAAUCACUCAUUUCACUAUGUACUAGUUUAAAUCCACAAUAUAAUAGUGCUUAAGCGACGAAUUUCGCUAUUGCUCUUCUCACAUUUUACCUUUUCUGAUGUUUUCAAAAAUUUUCAGUUCUUUUGCAUUAGUGGAGGAAUGUUGGUAAUGGAAAAUCAUAAAUAUUUUUUCAAAAUAUUUUCUGUUGUAGAAUAUUUUUCAAUUGAGGAAAAUCUUCUAACUAUUACAGAAUAUUUUCUGUUGAGGAAAAUCCUUUACUUAUUUUGGAAACUAACAUUGUUAUUUUACCAUUUUGUCUCUUCUAAAAAUAAUAUAAGUAGUAGUCAAUUCUACUCAUUUUUCACAACAUAGAAAAACAAGAAAACUCAGUUCUCUCUUUUCUUUCCCAUUCUUGCUCUCUAAAAAUUUAUGUGUUUUACUAAAUUACAUUAGUGUGAUAUUCUAUCUAGGAGAUUGGUUUCUAAGCGGAACCAUCUGUAACCCCUCCAAUAUUUCCUGGGAAUUGAACCUGGUGUGGUUUACCCAAGUUUCUUCUAGUUUAUUUCCCGACUUUUACGAAAAGAGCAAUCCUUUUGAGUUCCAUCUUCCUCAUUUGGGUGUACGAAUUUAGAAGUAUUAUGUUAACUUUGGGGGGCGACGUCCAUUUCCGAUUACACCGAUCAGGGCAAAAUCGCUUCUAAGGUAGUGGUUCUUCCACGGCAUAGUGAUUGCUUUAUUUAUUUACACUUAGUUUAGUUUCCUAUCAAUGCUAACGAUUUUGUUUGCAGUAAUAUAUUUCCAACAGAGUUAGUGUCACGAAUUAACCAAACAUCAACCCAAUUGGAAAAUAUCUAAGAUGUUAUUUUUUAAAUAAAUAAAAAAUAUUAUUAUAAGUACAAUAAAUUAUAUAAAAUCUUUAAAAUAAUCUACUUAAAAAUUAUAUAAUUUCAACAUUUGAAAAUUAUAGGGUAGUCUCAACCACUCCUUCAAGAAAAUAUAUAUAUUUUUUUUAAUUUUAAAGAUAAAAUUAUAAGUAUAUCUGUUUUUUAAUAAAAUUAUUUUCUUCCACUCGUAUGAUAAGUAAUAGAUGUGACAUAACCUAGUAUGUGCCAAGCAUGUAACAAGGUACAAUGUAAGUUAUUAAAUAUGCCAUCCGAAACAAAAAAUGAUAUAUAUAUAUAUAUAUAUAUAUGUGUUAAACAUGUGAUAAGAUAUAUUUUUUCUUUUACAUUUUUAUGUAAUCUAUAUCUAUAUUUAUAAUUCAUAUCUAUGUUUAUAUUUAUAUUUAUACUAUAUAUUAAGUGGUUUAUUAUCGCUCAUCAAUCAAGUCCCAACUUAAUUAGGAAAUGAUAAAAAUAUAAAAUAAUAAAUAUACUAUAAGGUUGUUUUGUCUUUUUUUUAUAUAUACUUUUGUAUAAAAUCUAGAAAAUUGUAUAUUAUAGGAUUUGAACCUAAAACAUGUUACCUUUAACAUUUCAAUCGAAGUUUGUUUUUUGUAAAGUUUUAUAAAUAUAUUUGUUGCGUUAUUUUUUUCACCCACACCGUAAUCUAGUAAUCCAUAAUUUCUCUCUAUAUAAACAUCAGCUUGAAGACAAUUUUGAAAUAAUAAAAUAUUCUUUAUUUCUCUAUUAUACUACAUAUUAAAAUAAUUUAUUUUUAUUAUUAAAAUCUUACUAAAUUGACAUAAGAGUAAUGUUUUACUUUUAUUAUUAAGUUUUAAACAUUAAAAUUUAUUUUAUAAAAGUGAAAAUCAUAUUUUAUAUUCAUGUUAAAAUGUUAAAUAUUGAGUGUUUCAAUAAAUAAAACUAAAACUGACCAUUAUAAAAUAAAUAUGUAACUUCCACCAAUUAAGUAUUUUCAUUUAAUUGAUAAUUGUUAGAGUUGUUUGACUCGAAUUCUAUUUGAUUUAGUCUGAAAGGUUCGAGCUGCAACUCACUUGUUAAAAAAUAAAAUAGAGGCAAAAUUGGGGAUAUGUGAAGGCUUACGAAUAUUGUCACAUAAGUUGAAUCUGUAUAGGACUAUACUUCUUCUAUUAGACGUUGAUUAUAAAAGGGUUGUUUAACCCUUAAAAUUGGGUAUAGUCGAAAAUCUCUUGUAUUGUUAUUUUUUAACAUUAGUAAAUUUCUCCUUAUCUGCCCAUGAUUUUUCUCGAUAAAGAUUUUUCACGUAAAAUAUGUGUUCUUAUUUUUCUUUCUUAUUACUUUGUGAUCAUUCCUAUUACCAUUAUCGACGUAUAGUAUAACAAUAACUAAAAUAUCACAAAAGACAUUAGGAUUUCAUUAUUAUAAUCUUUCAAACAUUCAUUAUAGUUUGAUAUGGUGAAUAUAUUUUAUUAUGUUGAAAAUUUUAUUUUUAUAUUAUUUCAUAAAAUAAAAAUACAUUAUUAGUUUAAUUAAAAAUUAUAAAAUUACGUGCAAUUAAAAUUACUAUUAGAGUUAUAUACCAAUUAAAAUUAAGAUUUAGCAUUAUAAAUAACAUCCAUCACUUAAGCAUUUUCAAUCAUGUAACAUCUAAAGAAAAUCUCUAAAACAUUAUUAAAAUUUAUAAAUUAAAAGUAGCUCAAAAGAAUUGUAUCAAACAGAGAUGAAGGAUCAUUUUAAUCAUUUAUGAAAAAAUAUUAUGGUAUUAAUUUAUCACACAUUUAUUUUAUUUAUUAUAUAUUAUAUUUAAUGUAUUUCAAACUCAAACUCAUUCAAUUUUUCUUUCAUUCAAUGUCUAAAAAGUUUCUCUUAAUUUUAUUUUUGCUUUAUAAUUUUUAAUUAAUAAUUAUAAUUUUAUAAAAAUCUACAAUUUAAAAUAAUUAUUUAUCAUUUAUUAUAAUUUUAUAGCUGUUUAAGUAAUUUGCAACUUUAAAAUAAUUAAUUGUAGAUAAAAUAAAAUAAAAUUAUAAUGGGUGAACAGAUUUAACCCAAAGAGAUUAAAGAUAUCCUAUGAGGGUAACACACUAAUGACAAAGUUAUUAGACAAGCAUAAAUAUAAAUUGAAGUCUCCCUAUCUCAUCUAUAUAUAAUUUUGUAUAUCUUUUCAUUUUAUAAUACAUUCGAACAGGCAGAAAAUGAGCAGACUUUGUCAAUUUAUUCAUUAUUACCCAAAUUGCAUCAUUCUUCUUUGGUGUGAGUGGUAAACCAACCACGAAAUACAUCGUAAUUGUAACACCUCAAACCCAACACGAUCGUCAAGUCUGAACUACGGGAUGUCACAUUCGUUGCUGGAGCAACUACAAUCAAAUACAAUUCAAUUUAACCAUUAAUACAUGCUAAUAAUUAUAUUACUCAUUUAAAAUAUGUUAUACAAUCAUUUUCGGGUCUUAUACGAGCUUACGAAAGCUAUUAAGAUGACUUGAGAUUGAAUAAGAACCCGAUUUUAAAAAUUUCAAAUUAUUAGGUUGACGUCGAGACUUCAGGGAUUCCUUGUCAGGACUUCGAGGGUUCCUCUUCGCGACGCAACUCACUGUCGAUUCCUUGUUGCGACGUGACCAUCUAUUUUCAAAUUAUCCAAAUGGUACAAAAUUUUGCAACACCUAAACAAUCAAACUUAUGAUCCAAUUCAACAAUUUCAGCAAGAAUACAUUUCAAAUAUGCUUACUUUUAACUUUUAUAUCUUAUAUACAUAAGCAUUACAUAAAAUUCACCCUUUCAACUUAAACACAUAUGCCAAGUUCCAUAAUUCUACCAUUUAAUCAUUUGAUAGAAUAUACAUAUAUACAACAAGUUAUACAUUAUCUCAUUCAUUUUAUAUAUAUAUACCAAUCUCAAUUAUAUAAACCAACCAUUUGGCCAUAUCAAAAUUUACCAUUUCUAACUUUAAAUAUCAACAAGAUCUCAUUUUUGGAAAAAUCGACUCAAAACCUAGUACUCAUAUUUGGCAAAAUCGACUCAAAACCUAGUACAUGUCAUAUAUCAAAAUGAAAGAAGACUAUACAAACAUUGUUAGCUCGUGGACUGUUGAUGGGAUGUUGAAUCACGAUUCGGGACUCCGAAAUCUACUAUAACUUACUCACAAAAUAAACAAACUAUACGCUGAGUGAUAAAGCUCAGUGGUACUUUCAUGAUUCAAGCCAAUAAUAAAGUAACAUUAACCAUAUGAACACAAGUAACACAUGUUCCAUAACUAACCAACUCAAUUCCUAUCCAUAUAUCAAGUAGCAUAAUGCACCAUUAGUAACACCCCUUACCCGUAUUGGACACCAGAAUAGGGUACGAGGCAUUACCAGAACACAUACACUUAUAAACAUGUUAAACCGAGUUAUAAAAUUUCAUUCAAAUUUAAACUCUUCAAAUUUUUAACAUGCUUUUAUAAAUUUUCACGUUAUAACUUCAAAAUACUAUAUUUGUAACAAAUAUGGCUUCUGAGACCCAAUACAUACUCAUGCAAUUCAAUACUUCAUUUCCAUUUCAUUUAAUUCACGAUUCUCAAUCCAAUAUACAUUUCAAUACCACAAUAAUUCAUUUAAUUCAAAUCAUAUCAUUUGUAAUUUCCAUUUAAUUCACGUACAGUUCAAUUUCAUUAAAUUUAAUACUAAUACAUAUUUAUCGUUUAACUUAACGUCCCCUUUUUGCGUCAUUUUACACUUCAAGCAUGAACUUAGUAUUUCAUUUCCUUUCCACUCUCGUUUCCUAUGCAUAUCACAAAAGAUAUAAACAUUACACUCGACCAUAGUCGCAAGCUAGCCUUUUUUUGAAGACUAACCACAUGAUAAACCAUUUUAAUAAAGAUUACAGACUUUAAACCUUACAGCCCUUUUAUGAUCACAAGCAUAUUUCCAUCUAGGCAUUUACCAUCUCAAUGCAUAAUUUUAUAAAUUUAAUGUGGCGUAAUCCAGCCACAACUUGGCCAAAGCCUAAGCAUACACACCAAAUAUGCUAGCCAAAUAAACAUAUAGUAUAAGCAUUAUAAGCAUGGAUAAGCACCACAUUUAUUUAUGUAUCAAACUUACCAACAUGAGUUAAUUCAUAAACCAUUUCUGACAUUACUACAUACCAAAGCAUAUACCAAGUAUACCACAUCCACAUACUAUGAAACUUUAUUUUCUCACAUGAACUUUACCCAUAACUAAUAAUGCACAAUUAUAGACAUCAUUUCUUUUCAAUCGUUUAUCGAUUAUAAUUGAGCAUAUGACCAAUUAUACACAAAUCCUUCAUAUGUUCUUCUAAUUUUUCUCCUUCUCCUCUCCAUUCCACAUCCUUAAUGUACAUAACACUCUUAGAAAUAACAUUUUCGAUAGUUUCACUAUUCACUUACAUGUAUACGUAAAACUGUCUCUCCGAGUCAGAGUCACUAAAUUAUUUUUAUCUGGAUCUACAGAUCUCCAAAUUAAGAACCGUUAAUUUUCCUCAAAAUUAGAUUCAUAAACCUUCUUACCAUAAAAUUUUUAGAAUUUUUGGUUCAGCCAUAUUGUACAGUUUAUUCUUUAAAGUUCCCCCGUUUCACUACUCAACAGUUCUGACCUCUCUUUACCAAAAAAUAAUUAUCUCAUUGUACAAAAUUCGGAUAUUGUUUCUGUUUGUUUCUCUUGAAAAUAGAUUCACUGAAGAUUCUAAAAAUAUAAACUUUAUCCCAUAAUUAUUUUUGUUCAAUUUUUUACAAUUUUUCAAAGUCAGAACAAGGGAUUCUGAACUCAUUCUGAUUUUGUCUAACUAAACUUCAAAUAUAUCAAAAUAUAUAACUCUUUUGCUUGCUCUAUUUCUUUUAUGUGAAAAUAGACUCAUUCAGAUUCAAUUUCAUAUAUUAUUCAGCCUCUAAUUCAAUUUCCACCAUUUUUGGUGAUUUUUGAAAGUCACACAACUGUUGAUGUCUAAACUGUUUUGUUGCUAAAUAUACUCUUUCAUAAUUUCACUUUUUCACUUUCAAUCACAAUUCAAUUCAAAAUUCACUUUUUCAUUUCUAAGUCGAUAUUCAAUUCAAUUCUACACCUAUAUUCAUUAUUCAAUUACACUUAGUCAAUUUCCCGAUGAACACUUCGGAAUAAUAACAGAUACUCGGUGGAUUCAGAACAUAGCAACCACCUUAUUAAUCAAUAAUGUCCGGUGGAAUCAGCACAUAGCAACCACCUUACUAAUCAAUGAUGCUCGGUUCACAUAGUAGCCUGCACAUAGUACUACACAUGUGACCAUUACCAUCUGAUACACGUAGUAGCCUGCACAUAGUACUACACACGUGAUCGAAACUAUCCGGUAUGCAUAGUAGCCUGCACAUAGUACUACACAUGUGACCUAUCAUUCCGGUACACGUAGUAGCCUGCACAUAGUACUACACACGUGACCAUCACUUUCACUUUUACAUAGUGGCCUACACACAGUCCGUGCCACACAUGUGAUCAUUUCUGUCACUUCAUUCGUAUUCCUUUUUAUUCCAAAUGUUCAUUCGGGAAUUUUUCACUUUUUCUCACUUUUCUUUUUAUCAUUCAAUUUCAAUUUCUCGUCUUUCUUGAUUUAUAACAAUACAUUUAACUUAUAUAACAUUCACACUAUUCAUUCCAGUCCAAAAAUCAUACUUUGGCAAAAUUACAUUUUUGUCCCUAAAGUUUCACAAAAUUAUGAUUUUGCCCCUAAGCUCGUAAAAUAAUUUUUAUUCAAUUUCCUUGCAUUUUAGGCCUAACUGAACCAUUUUCAUAACUAUAGCAGUCCAAAAUUUUUUACUUAUUCACACACUUACACACAUUUUACAAUCUUUUUACAAACUAGUCCUUUUAUGCAUUUUCACCGAAAAUCACUUAGUAAAAGUUGUUUCUCUAACCAUAAAAAUGCAUAAUAUACCAUUAACCAUCAAAAUACACAAAUUUCUAACAUGGGUCAAAACCUAGACCUUCAUCAUAUCUCAAAUAAAUGGUAGAAAUAAAUAAAUCAUGUUACAAGGAUUUCAAAAACGUGAAAAUCAUUAAAAACGGGGCUAGAACGAACUUACAAUCGAGCUUGGAAGCUUGAAAAACCAUAGCCAUGGUUUCUACAUGCAAAUUUCGGCCCCUAGAUUGAAGAUGGAAAAAAAUUGGCUUUUAAUUUUGUUUUUAAUUCAUUUUAAUUACUAAAUGACUAAAAUACCCUUAAUGAAAAACUUUGGAAACAUGUCCAACCAUGCCCAUUUUUGUCCACCAACUUAACCAAUGGUCUAAUUACCAUAUAAAGACCUCCAAUUUAAAAUUUCAUAAUAAUUGGACAUCUUUAACAUAUAGAACUCAAAUUUUUCACUUUUUACAAUUUAGUCCUUUUGACUAAAUUGAGUGCCUAAACGUCAAAAUUUUCGAACGAAAUUUUCAUGAAAUCAUUUUGUGAAAUCGUAGACCAUAAAAAUAUAAUGAAAAUAAUUUUUUUUCUCGUCGAAUUUGUGGUCCCAAAACCACUAUUCCGACUAGCCCCAAAUCCGGGCUGUUACACCAUUCCAUUUCAAUAUGUUUAUGUGUACAUAUCAGAUCAUACAAUAUUCAUACCAAAUAUCAAUUAUAUACAUGAUUCCAUUUAGCUAAGUUUAUACACAUAUACAUAAUCAAUUCAAGUUUUACAUUCAAUCCAUUCAUAUACCAUUUAUACCAAGUACCAUAAUUUAUGCAAAAUUCUCAAUUGAUCAAGUUUAUAUACACAUAUUAUCUCGUACAUUACUAUAACAUAACAUCUCUAUCUCAUUUAUUCACACUUUUUCAAAACAUUUGAUUUUUUCAUUUCCAUGUCGGCCCUCAGGGCUCGUAAUAUCCAAAUCGCAUGAUCUUUCACAUGUUUUCCAUAUUCAUGUUUUAUGUUUAUGCACGCAUGAUAUCAUUUCAUACUAUCAUUUUCAAUUAAAUAUAACUUAUCAAGUUCAUAUUAUAUAAUCCGAUUUUUAGAAUUCAAUUUAACGUUUCGCCUAAUGCAACCUUAGUAAAAACGGACUCGAACGCUUGGGUGAACUACACCGCACAAAGAUAGCUCAUGUGAGUAUAAACUACACCACACUAAAGCACCGGAGUACAAAGCCUGUAGGCAAAAAAUGCAUAUACAUGUGCAAAUACAUCCUUCCACCACACCAAAGUCUUUAAAGAGACAAUACUCAAUGAUCCAUAACAAAUUUUGGAUCCCAAAUGACAUAUAAUAAUUUCCGCAUCAAUAACAAACCCAUAUAGAAAUGCGCAUAUGACCCUAUUGGCAUAUUAAUUGUAUCCUAGCCUUUCUACUAUGUUUACAUAGGCAUCAACCAUUCAUAUAUCAUAGUCUCAUUUCAUUUCAUCAUCAAUUCAUAAAUGUGCAAUUUCACAUAACAUAGUUCAUACUAUAUUGGUUUCACAUAUCAUAUAUAAAUUAUAUCGCACACUUUUUUAUACUAUAUGCAAUUUAAUCCAAUUUAUCGACAUUCAAUAUCAUUCAAUACAAAUCAUUUUAUAUGAAAAUAUAAACUUACCUUGAUAGAUAUUCAUGCAAUCAACAUGUAAAUGUAUAUAUACAUGUAAUAUUCUCGAAUUAUAAAAGUACAAAUCGAUAAUUGUGGUUACUCGUCUACAACUCUUGUUUUUCCUUUCUCUCACGACAGCUCGGUGUCGUAUUUCUCUACAAUCGAUAAUUCAAGUCAAUAAAAUGAUAUCAUAUUCAUUCAAUCCACAUCCAAAUAUAAAGUCACUCAUAUUUUACAUUUUAUUCAAUUUAGUCCUUAUACUCGAGGAUAGACAUAUUUUUUGAUACCUAGCUUCAGAUCAUAAUCUGAUUUCACAUUCUCUCAUUAGGGAUCCUAAAUUUUCUAUUUAUAGCAUUAUCUCAUGAAAUAUUUUCAAUUUAUUCAAUUUGGUCCCUAAUAUUACAAAGUUAACUAACAAGCUUAUUUAGCUUUACAAUUUAGUCCUUAUCAUGAUCUAAGCUUAAUAUCUGUCAAAUUCAAGCAUAAUUCAUUAAUUCCUCUUUAAUGACAAUUUUCUAAAACCUCAACAAUUGAACAAAUUGAUACAUGAGCUAGAUAGAUCAAGCUCUUAUGAUCAUAAAUCUGUAAUUGAAAAAAAUAGCUUAAGGACCUUACUUGAAUAGUUGGUCGAUUGUUUGAUGGUUUUCUUCCUUUUCUCUUCAAUGGAGGGAUGGCCUUUAAAGAAGAAUAUGAAAAAAAUUGAUUCAUCUCUGCUAACUUAUCUAUAUAUAUACUUUAAUUAUGGUUUAACUAAACUAAUUAAUCAUUUUUCACUUAAUUAAUUAAGUUAGUCAUUUACUUAUUAAUUAUGAUUAUAGACUAAUGGUUGACAUCAUCACUUCCCACUAACAAUAUAAAAACAAUAAUUUAAUAACCAUUUAAGCAUGUUGGAUAAUUGUUAUUUAGGUCCUCAAGCAUUUUCUAAAUUAAAACUCGAUAGCGAUUGAACUUUUAUAAUUUAGUCACUGAGUUUUGAUUAACUACUAUUUCAGCUAAAUUAAUUAACCAAACUUUAUUAUAUUUUCAUAAUAACUUCAUAAAUAUUCCUAUUUUAUAUUUACGAACUCGGUUUACGGAAAUGAGAUUUCGAAACCGCAUUUUUCGACACCAUUAAAAAUCGGGUUGUUACAAUUUCACCCUCGAAAUUUACUUGAAAAGAGGUGGGGAUACUGAGGUCACAUUAUCUCUUCCACUUAUAAAUUUUUUACAUUCUUUACAACAUAGUCCUCAUCAUCAUGAAAUUCCUUACCGGUUUGAUAACACUUCAAUAUCGCUUUAUAUUUAAUAAACUAUCAUAUAUAUCUUCAUUUAAGUACCCCAAACAUAAUAUCUAAUUCACAUAUCAAAUUUAUACAUUUUAUAAUUUAGUCCCUUUUUCCAUACUUUCAAUACACUACAUCAAAUCACUUUGUAAUGGAAAUUCAAUUGAUACCAACACUUUUCUCUAAUUAAUUUCAUAUUAAAUAUUAAAAAAUUCAUAAAUAAGUUAAUCACAUAAAUAUUAAUAUAACUAAUCUAACAUAAUUUUAUACUUAGAUUUUAUUAGGUAAAGUAAACAUUUUUGAUGUACUUACAAAUCAAAGCUUGGAUAAACUUCCUUCUUCUUUAACUCUCCCCUUAACUAUCUCCUUUCCUUUGUCACCAACUUGAGAUUCAACCAUAUUCUCUUUCUUCAUUUUCAUAUAAAAAAAUACAAGAUUCAACAUCAAACCAAUGAUCAAAUAAUGUUUCCAUGCACUUAUACUUGAAAUAAACAUGAUCAUUUUACUAAUUCAUGAAAAUCUUACCUCAAACCCUUAGGGUUUCACUUGAACUUAAAUUUAUCUCUCUUACAUGAACACUAGUUGUCUCUAAAAGAAACUAAGCUUGCUAUGAGGUUUUCCUAUUGGUUUCACUAAAAAUCUAUAGAAGAAAUUGAAGAAAUCAAGCUUGGAAUGGUUGAAAAUGGUAGAAAAGAAUUGUUUGGAAUAAAAGCAAAGUUUGCUUCAUACAUGGAUGAAGGUAACGUGAGAAUGGAAGAAAAUUGAUGAGAUUUCUACACUAUUCUUAAUAAAAGCUAUUACAUUUAAUGAAUGAAAUAUUAUAAUUAUAAUUUAUUAUUAUAAGCAUCAUCAUUUUUAUCUAAUGGAUAUUAUUCAUUCUCAACUUCCAACACCCCAAAGGAUCUAAUUUCACCAACAAUUAUAACAUUUUUAUCAUAGUUAUCUAUUUAAGAAAAGAUUAUUUUGCCCCUUAUCAAUCUCCAUAAUUACAUCUUUGUUCAAUGACACUCUCUUGUUAUAAUUACACUUCUAAUCAUUUUUCUUUUCCCCUUUAAUUCAAUUUAAUCAUUUAUACUUUAAAUUUUCACAAUUUUUACCAACACUUUUCACACUUGUACGAUUUAGUCUAUACUCCAAAUUAAUAUCUUUCAAUAUAUUAGUCUUUCCAAUUCUCUUCGGUAUCCAACUACUUUCUCUACUAACACUGAUCAUUCCUAUUUUAUUUGCUUUGAAAAUUUUAACGCAUGCAAUCUCAGAAUAACACUAUUCUCGACUUAGGGGGUGUUAGGGAUGUUACAAACUACAUGACUAAAUAAUGUUGUAAGAAUUACAAAUUAUUUGAGCCUUAAUUAUAUAUAUCCAAUUGAUUCUUCUACUAUCUCAACACAAUCAUGAUAAUUUAAUUGAUGAAAUAAAUAGGAGGAUAAUACGUUUCAACACGCUCGAACCCACGUCCUCCUACACUGGCACCAAUGUCUAUGUCAAUCGAGGUAAGACUCAAUUGGUGAGUUAACUUAAAUACAUAUCACCAUUGAGUGUAGUUACUCAGUCGAAAUAUAGUGAGAUUUAUUUUCCUAAAAUAAAAUCAAUUUUUUGUGAGAACUCAAGUUUGACUUUUGGUUUCUUUACCUAUAAAGAGAAUUAUCUUUUCCCAUUAGAAAGUUAAAGUUUUCAUUGUAUGAUCAAUUCAUAAAUUAAAAUGCUUACUCUCUAAGAAAUUGACAGCACGUUUGGUUCGCUGUAUUGGAAUAGAGGCGUAAUGGAAUAGAGACGUAAUGAAAUAGAGACGAAAUGGAAUAGAGGCGUAAUAGCAAAUCAAUUGUUUGGUUGAAUGUAAUGAAUAGAGGCGUAAUAGUAUUCUUGUGUUUGGUUGAAUGGAAUGGAGGUGUAAUAGCAUAAGGAAAAAACUAAAAUGACUAAAAUACCAUUAGCAGAAAUUUGUUUAUUGUUAUUGUUAUUAAAUUUUAAUAAGAUUAUUAAUAUCAGUAAUAAAUAAUUUAAUCAUAUUUUAACAUAAUUAUUAUUAACUAUAUUUUAAUUAAAAUAUAUAAUUUAAUAAAAUUCUUAAUAAUCAAUAUUGUUAUAUGAAUUUAUUAUUGUUAUUAAAUUUUAAUAAGAUUAUUAAUAUAAAUAAUAAAUAAUUUAAUCAUAUUUUAACAUAAUUAUUAUUAAAUAUAUAAUACUAUAAAAUAUAAUUUAAAAUAUAAUUUAAAAUAAUUAUUAUUAAAUAUAAUUUAUAAUCUACUUUAUUAUUUUUAAACUGCAAUACAUAUUUUAAUGUCAUUUGGAAAGAGAGCGUUUGUCUCAUUUCUGAACCAUGUAGUGAUCUUUAUCUUAUCUAUGUUGUUUAAAUUUCUCAAUAGAAUAGGUUCAGAAUCAACUUAAUAUGUAUUACCUUAUUGUAUCUGUUAUGCUCCCAAAUAUAAGCCUACAGAUAUUUUUAACCUCACGUUGUGUCUUCUACUGCUUGCAUGGAGUUUCUCUGACAUGCUGAGAUACCAUGCCAAUGUUCAUGCUAUUAAAAUAUUAUUACCAUAUAAGGAACGUGAAUUGAUUUACUAGUACAAAUAUUUUGAGAAAAAAAGUUGAAAAUAUGGCCUUUUCUUUCUUAUAUCAAAAUCUAUGGAUUUUCUACAACGAAUUUAAGCCAAAAUUCAGGAGGAAACAAACAAAGCUGGGAAGUAAAAAAGAAAAAAACAAGAGGCUAACUGACACAAAAGCUUAUCAGAUCCUCACUCCAAAUAAGCAUCUUCCCCAUGUAAAGAACAUGGCUAAUGUCAAGUGCCAUGUCAUUUAAUCAGAAAAUGGAAGUUGUAUUGCACCUUCCACUUUGCUAAAGCACUAAUCUUCUUCACUUUCUUCCAUAUCUUCCUCGUUAUCCGCUUCAUCAUCUUCAUCGCUAUCCUCUAUUUGGCCAUCAUUCUCACCGUCUUCCUUUUCAUUACCCUCAUUGCCUGGCUCUUUCUUAUUGCCACCAUUGCCUGAUAAAUAACAAAAUAGUUGUAUAAAUAUGCUAGUUGAAUAAAGGCACAUUAUAGAACAGGUCUCAGCAAAAUAAUCUAGCAUGUAAAUGAUAAGGUUAAGAGACUUCUUUCUUUUUCGAGAUCUUCUCUAGUUUUCACAUGGAUAGAUGAACAUACCAUAUUCACUGAACAUAGCUUCACCAGAACAUAGUCCACCCUCAAUUUUGGUGAGUUGGAGAGUCAUUCUAGGUCCAAUUUUUGCGUUUCCUAUUUGGUGAUUUCAACUUCACUGAAGAGCUUGCAGUUGAUGUCCGACCUGACUGUGUUGUAUUUGAUCUCAAUCCAGACUAAAAAUUGUAAAAUUAUAGCGAGGUAAGUAGUUAUAAAUUAGCAAAAAUUGAAAUAUUGCUAAACUAAAACUUACAUAGAAUGUCUGCUCUCCAGUUUUCAUAUUUGUGUAGAGCCCUAACCCAGUGACAGACCACCUUCGAGUUUUCAUACUUGUGGAAUGCUUAGUUGUGGAAGCUGACCUAACUUUUUUUGGUUGAUUCUUCCUCUCCAAUAAGUUAAUAUUACAUUGAAUAAAGGUAGACAGAAAUUAAAAUCAAAGCAUGAAAUAGAAGAUUAAUAAAAUUGGAAGUGGAAUGAUAUAGAAAAUUGAAGGCCUUCCUUAUUCAGAUCAAGACAGUAAUAUGACAUCUAAGUUAAACAAAAGGCUAAAAACUGGUUUUCUAGAAACAAGAAACUGCCUCAUAUUUGAUGUUCUAUACCACAACUAUUACAAGCUGUGAAUGUCUCUUGGGACCACUGGCAUACUAGGAAAUCUGAUACAAAAUCACUAUACACUAAGCUUGGAGGAUAAUAGAUUGUAUACACUAACGCAGCUUUAGAACCCAAAUUAAUGAUUGGAAUUAAAAGAAGGUGAACUAGGUAGGAGCCAUAAAUGACUUAUGUCUAUAAUCACAUCACAUGAAAGCCAUCACACAAUCACAUAAUAAUGCUAUCUCAGGGCCUCCAAUGUACAUCCUAAAAGACCCCAGUUCAACAAUAAUAAAUUUGGCAAAGAGAAUGUUAAAGUGAUACUCUUUAACUUGUAAGUUGUUCUUCUGUUGGCUAAGAGAAUGACACCAAUAAAUAAAUCAAAAAUAAGAGGGAGAUGGAGGAUCAAAUAGAAAAGGGGGAUAGAUAAGAAUGAGAGAUAAUAAAAAUUAUCAUAGUUCAACCCAAAUUACAACCUUCAAGCAUUAAGCAUAUCCAGAUAUAUUGAAAUCACAAGCUAAAAAUAAGGGAAAGAUCAUUCUCACAAUGGAACUUCCCAACCCAAAUCCUUUUCUAGACAGAACAUUUUGGUACUAAGAUAAUCUAGAAAUCAUUAAAACUAAACAUGGAAAAUGCUUAAUCGGGGAAGACUACAUAAGAACACAUUGUAUCAAAUAAUUUAUAAGCAACUUGAUUAAAGAAAUCAAAAACUACUUACUUCUGGUGGUGCUGCACAAAGCAUGUAGAAACAGUGAUAAUUUCUCUCAGGAUUAGACACUUGACAAACACGUGAUCUUUCUAAUAAGUCCUAAUGGCAGCUCCUGAAAUCCUUCCCCUCCGGUCAAAUUGAAUCUCCACAAACUUACCAAAACGACUACAUCAUUCAAAACAUGCAUGUAAAGGUAAAAAAAAACAUUAUAACAUAGAAUCUACUACAUGCAGGGUGUAAAACUUGUUAAAACAAAAUACACUCACCUUGAGUUAUUGUUCCUAACAGUCUUAGCAUUACCAAAUGCUUCUAAAACAGGGUUGGACUGCAGAUUAGCAAAAAAACAAAAAAAAAUGUUGUUAUAUGUGGUGCAAAUUGGGCAUUGUUAAAUCAACUUAUGGUGAGAAAUUUAUGCUCUAAGGAUCAUUUUUAAGCACAUCCCUUUCCACUUCCAAAUAAUGCAUCAUUUUGAAAUGAUAUGCCUCUUCAUGUAUCUAACUUUACCCUCAUCUUGAGUUAAAAAUAAUUAUCAUUUUCAUAUUUUAAUCCCAAACCUAAAAAAAAUUAAAAAUAAAGAAACAAAGAAAGGCAUAAAACCCAAACCAACGCUACUUCAUUUUCAGAUAAAACCCACCACUAAUUCAGCACAAAAAACAAAUGGGUAUUCAACAGUAUAAAAAUAUAGAACCAAAAUGAUGGCAUACCUUAAGCAGUUUUUCUAGAACAAGAAGAAACGAAAAUGACAAAGAAGAUAAAGAAGAUGUCAUACCUUAAGCCAAGACCCUGCGAAGAGGAAGAUUUGAGCGAAACGAAACAACAGCGUGUAAUUUGCCUGAGAAGAGAAGAUAUGAGACGGACAUAGCUAAGGAAAAACGGAAGAGAUUAUAAAGGAUGAAGAAAGGAAGAAGUAGAAGGAGGAAAGUUACCUGGAUGAAGAAGGAGAAUGGAUGAAGAACGAAAGGAAGAAGGAGAAAGUAACCUGGUGAGAGUUGGAGAUUACUCACUUGUCGAUUCAAACCGUCUGGAGAUCUGAGACCGUCGAGUCGGAGAAAGAUGCAAAGCUGAAAUCAGGAGCGGCUGGAGGUUCACCUUCUGUUGAUGUUGGGAGGGAGAGGGUCGGCUGGAGUCGAUUUCGGCAAGGGGAGGGUAAAUGAGACACCGAUUACCUAAUCUUUGCUUUUGCAAGGGAUUAGAAAUCGGUGGUGAAGCAGGCAAAACGCGGAAUCCGUCUGCAACGGAUUAGGCCCGUAUUAGGGCAAUACAGCGAACCACACGGUGUAUUGAGUAGGGCCACCGAUUCGGGGUGUAAUGGCUAAUCCAUUACACCCAACCAAACAAGGUGUGAGGGUUCAAGAAUAGUAAAGAGUCAUGUUAGUUGAAAGUCAAAAAAUCAACUGGUCUCAUUAAGUGAAUAACAUAAGUACUAAAUUUGGUAAGAUUUAUUGCUAUAAAUAACACAAACACUCAAUUUUUUUAAAAAAAGAAAUAAACUUUCACUGGGCAAAUAAACACAUUUUUCAAAUCGAUUUUUCCAAUAGUUAGAAAGUAUGGGUAGAUUUCUGUGAGUUCUAUUUAUAACAUGCAUACUAAUUAUAAGGGGGUUUCAAUAUUGGUGUGAAAACCGAGUGGAUUUGGCACCUUAAAUGCCCAUAAUGCAUCCAAUUUUUCAUCCGGCUCAUCUACUUAGUUGAUUGAACACUAACCAAAUUCGAUUGAAAAAGAACAUGACCUCGUAGGCUACCUUUUCCUCGUGUGGACAUUUGGUUGAAUUAGUGGAACAUAUCUUCAAAGAUUGUCAGGUGGCGAAGGAAAUUUGGAUUGAACUUCUAGUGGAAUGUGUUCAACAUGAAUAUUUCUUGUUGCCAUUCAAAGAUUGGUUGUGAUACAAUUGCAGAGAGUCGAUGGUGGCAAACUUUCAACUACCAUGAGUGUACAAGCCCAUUUGCCCGGGCCCAACCAAAAAAAAAAGAAGCCCAAUCUACCAACCCUAGCCCAACACCAAAUAAGAAAAAGAAAGGGUCAACCCCUAGGUGCGCCGCACCUAGGGCCUUCUACCACCGCCCCAUGCCUUUGCCACCACCUGCUCCACCCGCCACUGUCGCGUUGGCCACUUGCACCUGCAAAGAGAGAAACCAACACGUAACAACAAACAGUAGAAAUAGAUAAAAAAAAUAAUGUGUAAAAUCAGCUAUAAAAGCCGGAUUAAAAUGUAUCAAGGGGCCCCCUUUUGAGAAAAAAGAUCAGAAAUA
rnacentral:lncRNA from 1 species